AGGGUUCGAUUCUGGCUCAGGAUGAACGCUGGCGGCGUGCCUAACACAUGCAAGUCGAGCGAUUCUCUUCGGAGAAGAGCGGCGGACGGGUGAGUAACGCGUGGGUAACCUGCCUCAUACACAUGGAUAACAUACCGAAAGGUAUGCUAAUACAGGAUAAUAUAAGAGAUUCACAUGGAUUUCUUAUCAAAGCUCCGGCGGUAUGAGAUGGACCCGCGUCUGAUUAGCUAGUUGGUAAGGUAACGGCUUACCAAGGCGACGAUCAGUGGCCGACCUGAGAGGGUGAUCGGCCACAUUGGAACUGAGACACGGUCCAAACUCCUACGGGAGGCAGCAGUGGGGAAUAUUGCACAAUGGGCGAAAGCCUGAUGCAGCAACGCCGCGUGAGUGAUGAAGGCCUUCGGGUCGUAAAACUCUGUCCUCAAGGAAGAUAAUGACGGUACUUGAGGAGGAAGCCCCGGCUAACUACGUGCCAGCCGCCGC
rnacentral:rRNA from 1 species